CCUGCAGUCCGCACCUCUACUGCAUGGCACCAUGCAACAAGGCUGGCUAAAGGGGGAUACCACCUUGCUUUGUCAGCAGUUGGCUUGGGGUCCUGCUGGGGUUUACGGUGUGCAGACCACAACGUGGGCUUCAUCUGCUCGGCACGCCAGCACAGGGGUUUGAACUGCCUUUGACAGCACCUCAUGGAGCCACAUUGGUGUGAUCCAGGGCAGUGAUACACAGCAACCCUGCUGGGGGCUGACACACCAGGGCUCAGCACUUCCAGCUGCUUUGCUGCAAUGCCUCCCCACGAGCCCACCCCGGCGGGUCCCCAGCAGGAGGCCAAUCCUGGGAACAGAGGACUGCAAGUCGGUGCCGCCGCUGCCGGUUAUCUGCCCAGCCCUGGCAUCCCGCCUCGAGAGCCCCUCCUGGGCUGCGUUGGCUGAGCAAACCCGAGAGCGGGGCAACGGUCAGAGCGACAGAAAUGACUCGCUGGGGGAGAAGUGCAGCGAGAUGGGCUCCAGGAGAGAUGAGUCACUGCCGAGCUGCACUCCAGAAACAGCUCACAGAGCCAGCUGCUGCUGUUCAGAAGAUGAACUUACUGGGCUCUGCAGGCUGGCAACAGGGGCGCGGUAGAUGAGCUUGGCUUCAGCUAUUUCAGCGCACGCAGAAGGUGGAUCCAUUUGUGCCUGGGAAGAAUGGGAAGCCGGGCAUGCAGAAGCUGUCCUGAAGCUCUGGUGGUCAGCCCGGGCAGCUCCAACGCAGGCAGCGCUCCUUAUACCGCACUUACUCGUCUGUUAAUCAUUAAACACUGAUUAGAAAAGGCAAAACAGACAAUGCCUCGAAGGUGGUUCUGACUUUGCGGCCUUCCAGUACUUGAAGGGAGCUUACAGGCAGGAGAGGGAGUGACUUUGUACAUGGUCUGAUAGCGAUAGGGCAAGGGAGAAUGGCAUUUAACUACCAGAGGGAAGAUUUAGGUUAGAUGUGAGGAGGAAAUUCUUUACUCAGAGGGCAAUGAGGCACUGACAGUGCUGCCCAGAGCUGUGGGUGUCACAACCCUGGAGGUGCCCAAGGCCAGGUUGGAUGGGCCCUGGGCAGCCUGAGCUGGUGGGGGACACCCAGCCCACAGCAGGAGCUGGGGCAGGGGUGGCUUUGGGUCCCUUCCAGCCCAAGCCAUUCUGUGAUUCUAUGAUUCUAUGUCUUUGAAAUGGCUCUGUAUCUUGCAGUGGCCACUAUUACUUAAGGUA
rnacentral:lncRNA from 1 species